rnacentral:rRNA from 1 species
GAACGCUAGCGACAGGCCUAACACAUGCAAGUCGAGGGGCAGCACAAGGAGCAAUCUGAGGUGGCGACCGGCGCACGGGUGAGUAACACGUAUGCAACCUGCCUGUAAGCGGGGAAUAACCCGUUGAAAGACGGACUAAUACCGCAUAAUACUAAAUUACUGCAUGGUAAUUUAUUUAAACAUUUAUGGCUUACAGAUGGGCAUGCGCAUGAUUAGCUAGUUGGGGAGGUAACGGCUCCCCAAGGCAACGAUCAUUAGGGGUUCUGAGAGGAAGGUCCCCCACACUGGUACUGAGACACGGACCAGACUCCUACGGGAGGCAGCAGUGAGGAAUAUUGGUCAAUGGACGAGAGUCUGAACCAGCCAAGUCGCGUGCAGGAAGAAUGUCCUAUUGGAUUGUAAACUGCUUUUGCAGGGGAAUAAAGUGCAUCACGUGUGAUGUUUUGUAUGUACUCUGCGAAUAAGGAUCGGCUAACUCCGUGCCAGCAGCAGC